rnacentral:rRNA from 1 species
CCUACGGGAGGCAGCAGUGGGGAAUAUUGGACAAUGUGGGCAACCCUGAUCCAGCCAUGCCGCGUGUGUGAAGAAGGCCCUCGGGUUGUAAAGCACUUUCAGUGAGGAAGAACGCCUGGUGGUUAAUACCCAUCAGGAAAGACAUCACUCACAGAAGAAGCACCGGCUAACUCCGUGCCAGCAGCCGCGGUAAUACGGAGGGUGCGAGCGUUAAUCGGAAUUACUGGGCGUAAAGCGCGCGUAGGUGGCUUGAUAAGCCGGUUGUGAAAGCCCCGGGCUCAACCUGGGAACGGCAUCCGGAACUGUCAAGCUAGAGUGCAGGAGAGGAAGGUAGAAUUCCCGGUGUAGCGGUGAAAUGCGUAGAGAUCGGGAGGAAUACCAGUGGCGAAGGCGGCCUUCUGGACUGACACUGACACUGAGGUGCGAAAGCGUGGGUAGCAAACAGGAUUAGAUACCCGGGUAGUC